GAUCCUUUCAUUAACCACCCCUCCCAGAAAAUACCAAUGGCAGAACAGCCUGGUAGAGUCCAUGCCGCAUUUCUCUUGUUUACCAGACAAAGGAAAAUAUCAGUGGACUAAACAAGUCAUUUUGUCGCCCUUUGGCACUUCUCCAAACAUCAGCAUUGAACGUCCCAGGGAUCUGAAAGCAGUGUCUCAUUAAAACAAGGGGGGGAAACGAAAUAAUGCUUGAGUCUUUAAAAAGCUGCUGCAUUCUGCCACAAAAAAGGGCAGCUCUCUGAGACUCCACGAUAGCCCCAGCAAGGUCACGUUGCCGAUUUCUUCCUUCUCCUUGGCACAUACCUGGCACGGUCCGGUUCCGGAAGGUAAGUACGGGAUAACAGGAGAUGUCAGCACCCAGCUUCAGUGCCUUCAGAGGAGCCAAGAGCUCCCGAUGGCUAAUCCUGCCCCUAAAACUGUCUCCUUCUGCGGCCUCAAGCACAGCAUUUCACCUCUCUGUUGCAAUUUUUUCAUCUGUAAAAUUGGGAUAAUGACAUUUUACUAACGCGCAGGACUGCUGUGAACUUUAAUUAAGGCAGGGUUUGUAAAAUGCUUUAAUGAGGGAAAGCACUAAGAACGAGUAGAUUAUUUGGUUAAGCUGGCUGACGUGGUGCUGCCAGACUUGCCCGAAUAACUCGGGAUCUGUAUGUACGCACUACAGAGUGUUAUUCUGUACGCCUUCAAAGAUAAGUGUUGCAGGGCUUGGGUCUUGGGCAGGCAGGAUUCAGUUUGGGAGUGCCUCUUCCUAAGCAGGCUAGCGUACAGCACUUACAUUCACUGCCCACCUUGUUUUCCUUUAUUUUGCAGACAGCAAACAACUUCGAUUUACCAAGAGCCGCCUUAAAAUGAGGUACGGAGCCAGGUGGUGGGAUAAUCUGCAAUACCAAGGACGGAAUGCAGAAUGUCCUUUCUGAUCCCCUGUUUCUGGAUAUAGGGAAAGCCACGGGUACAUACACGUUACAGGGAAGCGAGCGGUGUCUCCUCAGUGACCUGCGGGGAGAUGGAAGGGGUUGCCCUGCCUGCUGUCUCCAACUCUUCCCAUCCACUCAGACUUCAUCUCACUGUUUUCCCUAUGCCGGGAAGCCAGCCAGCAAGGCUUUGGGCAUCUGGCAGUACUCAGCAGAGGGGUGACUAUCACAUAAAUCUAUUCAAAUACAGUAUCUCGCAGGUGUAAAGUCCAUCCAGACACUGCCUUUCAUUUUGCACCUUACAGCAGGCAGCGGGUGAUAACUGUCACCCUCGCAUCUUUCUUCCAGUUCCUUUUCUACUUUUUGGGCCAGGAAAGAAUUAACUGCUGUGAGCUGCGCUAAAAAAUUGAAUAAGUGGAUGGAGAAAGGCAUCCCCACGAGGGGCAGGACUGGGACCAGCACUUCAAAUCUGACAGGCAAAGGUAAUUCAGGCCGAAGCUGUGCCUCCGGUCCCUCAGACCGCGGGAGGCAGGCAGUCACAAGGACACGGUGGGGACAAUGUGUCUUUCUCUGGGGACCUUUCACCAUCCUUUUUCUACACCUACAGAGGUGUAGGUGCCGCUGCAGCCUUGUCCAGGGACCGCGGUCCUGUCCCGCUCCCUCGCUGCCUGCUCGCAUCCCCCAGGAGCAUGAGAAAGGACCGGUCCCUCCAGUGAAUUCAUCUGGAGCGGUGGUAAGGUCUGGGACUCCAUAUUCUUCUCCAAGAAAGAUUUAAUCCAUCUGGCUCUUAAUACCACCCUGUUGCUCUUUGAUCAGGGAUUAUUUAAGCUAUUAUUGAAAUAUUGCGCUCAGACUUCUAUUAUGGCUGGAAUUCACAGAAACAAUGCUCCUCUCUGGCUGAGCAAAUAAUGUCGAGCUGUUUGUUUUAAACAGAAUUCCACAUAUUCACUUUAUGUUACUUUCACGCUGCUGGUCAGGAACAAUGAUACUUGUCCAGGGCUACAAAUAAUUACCGGGAAUCAUAUUUUGGUGACAUUUCCAGCAAGCUUCUACAGUGAAAAUCCAUUUGCAGCAUUUCCAAUUCCUAGGCAUUUCUUUAGGAAUCAGACAUCUGACUGGCUUUGGGGUUUUGUGUUCUGAUGAGUGCCAGGCUCCCUCACUGUUUCCAUUCUUUAAAUUUUAACCAUGUUUGCAAAAUGUCAGACAUCUAAAUCAGUUUUUCUUUUGUCAGAUAUGAAAGAUUAUUGUCUGGAAAAAUCAGCAGCCACUAAUCUAGCUAAAUCCAUGCUGUUUGUUUGCUGGUUCUACUAUAGACACCUUGGCUCCCAGGUAUUUUCAAGAUUAAGCAUUAGCAUGACAUCUUCUUUUCAAUUUUUAGGCACGAUUGUUCAGAGCAGCAGAUAUAGUCAGAGCAAUGACCACAGACCACGAUUAGUGAUAUUAAAUGUUUGAUGUUGCUGCUCAGUUCAGAUAUGUGACAUGGUAUACACGGACAUGCAUUUUCAAAGGAGAGAUGCUUAGUCCAGCCUGAAAAAUCAAGCUGCUAAAGUGAGCUACAAGUCAGGCAUAACAAAUUAGUAGAUGCUAUUGAUAAUCAUGGACUUAGAGCAAAGUUCUGUCAAGUUGUUGGGGUUUUUUUUAAGUGUUCCUGAGAAACACCCUGCUCCCCUUUUUUGUUUGUUUGUUUUUAAUGAAGGUUUCAGAAAGAUGUUUCCAAGAUACAGGAAAAAUAAGAGAACUCCAACUGCUGCCCCACUUAACAGAGAGAAUUUUCACUUGUUGAGAUUCGUCAUGCAUUUGAAAACUAUUGUGUGGCAAAUCCAAUAAUCCAAAUUAUUGUUUGCUAAUCCAAUUAGGCAUUUUAAUUAA